rnacentral:rRNA from 1 species
AUUGAACGCUGGCGGAAUGCUUUACACAUGCAAGUCGAACGGCAGCACGGACUUCGGUCUGGUGGCGAGUGGCGAACGGGUGAGUAAUGUAUCGGAACGUGCCCAGUCGUGGGGGAUAACGUAGUGAAAAUUACGCUAAUACCGCAUACGAUCUAUGGAUGAAAGCGGGGGAUCGCAAGACCUCGCGCGAUUGGAGCGGCCGAUAUCAGAUUAGGUAGUUGGUGGGGUAAAGGCCCACCAAGCCAACGAUCUGUAGCUGGUCUGAGAGGACGAACAGCCACACUGGAACUGAGACACGGUCCAGACUCCUACGGGAGGCAGCAGUGGGGAAUUUUGGACAAUGGGCGCAAGCCUGAUCCAGCCAUUCCGCGUACAGGAUGAAGGCCCCCGGGUUGUAAACUGCUUUUGUACAGAACGAAAAGGUUUCUACUAAUACUAGGAGCUCAUGACGGUACUGUAAGAAUAAGCACCGGCUAACUACGUGCCAGCCGCCGCCGUAA